AUACUUACCUGGCAGGGGAGAUACCAUGAUCAAGAAGGUGGUUCACCCAGGGAGAGGCUCGGCCAUUGCACUCCGGCUGUGCUGACCCCUGCGAAUUCCCCAAAUGUGGGAAUCUCGACUGCAUAAUUUCUGGUAGUGGGGGACUGCGUUCGCGCUCUCCCCUG
rnacentral:snRNA from 15 species